CAGCAGCCGCGGGAAUAUGUAGGGUGCGAGCGUUAAUCGGAAUUGCUGGGCGUAAAGCGUGCGCAGGCGGUUGUGUAAGACAGGUGUGAAAUCCCCGGGCUUAACCUGGGAACUGCGCUUGUGACUGCACAGCUAGAGUAUGGCAGAGGGGGGUGGAAUUCCACGUGUAGCAGUGAAAUGCGUAGAGAUGUGGAGGAACACCGAUGGCGAAGGCAGCCCCCUGGGCCAAUACUGACGCUCAUGCACGAAAGCGUGGGGAGCAAACAGGAUUAGAUACCCCUGUAGUCCCUGUCUCUUAUAC
rnacentral:rRNA from 1 species